rnacentral:lncRNA from 1 species
UCUUGCCCUUCCACCUAGUUUCCAUGUUAUGAUGCAGCAAGAAGGCCCUUGCCAGAUGUGGCUCCUGGAUUGUGGACUUUUCAGCCCCCAGAACUGUGAGCCAAACAAACUUCUUUUGUUCAUAACUUCCCCAGUCUGUGAUAUCCUGUUACAGCAGCAGAAAAUGGACUAAGACACCCAGGGAUGUACCUGGAACCUGGAAAAAGGGGCAGAUCUGCAUCACGGGCUUGCAUGUCCAAUUUCACCUUGGCACUUGCUUCUCCGAGGGUCUGGACAUGGGGCUUCGUUUGAGUCUGGAAGCAGUGGAGAGGGGCCAGAAGCUCCAGGCCUUGGCUUGGAGAUCUCUACAGGUGUGCAUGGAGAUGUUUGAAGUGCUAAUGGCUGAGACAGAGCAAGUGGCAGAGGCCUAGGAGACGGAGGCUGAAAGAGUCUGAGGAGGAAAGGAGGCACUGAGGGACUCACAUGAAGCUACUCUGUCAGCAUUCUAAAACUUCUGACAUUCUUUUCUAUGAAGAUAAUUGAAUCACCAAAUUUGAUGAAAUGUUCCCCAAAUAUCAGGUGAAAAAAACUCAUCUAAACCUUUGGACUUGGAAUUGCCCACAUAGACCACAUCAGCAAUGGAAGACAGAGCAAAUAACAUGUCGGUUCAAUGUAUGAAGGAGCUUUUCUUUCCCCUGCCCCAACCCUCAGACAGGUAAAUCUGUGAAAGCUCUAUUUUGAUUCUUUUUAAAUUAUUUGUUUUACAUGUUUUGUGUUUUAUGUUGGCUGAUUCCAAAUGGUUGAAAUAGUGGAGGUCCAACAACCAUUUUCACAGUGUAAUCUUCAGAAGUUCAUCCUUUGGGUUGUAAUUUCAUGAUAAGGAGGAGCAAGAAGAUGCUUUUUGUAACUCAAAUAGCAUCUUCUGAGAAAGGUCUCUAUUUUCACUUGUGUCUUAACUUACAACUGUGUUCAACUCUAUUUCCUUUCCUUGCUUUACAUUUUUUCUUAUGCACCUAUAAUUAUCCAAUUUACUAUAUAUUUUAUAUUUGUCUGUUAUUGUCUGUUUUCUCCACUAAAACAUAAACUUCUUGCAGGAUUUUUGUCUGUUUUUCUCACUGUUGAAUCCCAAAAGCAAAGAAGAAUACCUAGCAUAGAGUUAGUGUUCAAGAAACAUUUGCUAAAUGGAUGAACACCUCUUCAUUUUAUGAGAAAUGAAUCUUCCCCAAGAAGGGGCUCCCGGGUGCAUCUUGUGUGUAGACAUCUCUAUGUCCCCAGGCUGCUGUAGAGCUGAGUCAUCUUUGUGCCCACACCUGGGAAGCAGGACCCUUGUUCGUGUUUCUUUGGCCUUGGGCAUGUCAGUGAGUAAGGAGGAUGUGUGGGAUCUGUGUCCAUAUUUACGUAAGAAAGCAAUAUAGCCUACUGCCCCUUUCAUUUUCAGCAAGUGUGUGUUUACACUGGCCUGGGAUCUACUAUAAAGUUUAAUGUUUGGUUAUACAUUUAUUUCUCAGCUACUUUUGUGAAUAAACAUUUUCUAAAACAUAUCUAUUUUAAAAGUGACAAUGUUUGAAUGAAAGAAAGAGGAGGAGUGAAGCCUGGUAGUUAAUUUGCAGAACUUAGAGCCUGAAUUUUUUGGGUUGGAUCUUUGAUUUUACCAUUCAUUAGUUUUGUGAUCUUCCUCAAUUUCCCAAUCUGUAAAAUGGAAAUAAUAAUAGUACCUACCUCAUGGGAUGUCAAGAGUAAAUAUAAAAAAUGUGUGACACCCAGGAAUGACUAUAUAAGUACUAGCAGUUAAUAUUAUUUAUUAUUAUUAUUCCUGCUUGAAUAAUCACUUUGAGCUAAAUCACUUUGUUUUUACUACUAGCAAUAAGCAUGCUUAAAUACUUUUAAUGUUAUUAUAAUUUGUAUUAUAGUAGACUAAUCUGGAAUUUUAUUAAGCAGAAUUCCCUCUAGACAGGCAUCUAUGCAUACGGAGCAAAAAAUGAUGUAUAUAAUAAUAAGUUUGAGGCACUGAAAGAUCUUGAAUGAGCUUCUGAAUCAUCAGUUACUGUAUCUUUGGGGAACACCAGAGAAAGACUCUCCUUACCAUCCUCACUGCAACUAAACUUCGGGACCCUGGGCUUUGGGUUCAUGGUCUCGCCACUGAAAAGGUUCCCUCCACACUUUUGGAAUUGUGCACCCAUUGGAACCCUUGAGGUAAAGCUAACCAGAGAAAUUUCUCCCAAGAAGAAGAAGAUGGCAUCCUUGAAGUGAACAGCUUUUCCCAAGUUCACAGAGUAAGACUUCUACUAUCAUGAAACUCUUAUCUUUGAAUAUUUUUUCUUGCUUAUAUCUCUACUAACAAUAGAAGUGGAAAAAGGGUCUGUUAUGUGCACUUAUGGGGUAUACUUUUAUUUGUGAAGAAGUUUGCAGCCAGCCUUAUACAUGGAUAACCUUCUACUUUGAUAGAGAUGAAGGCCCAAUGCAGGUAAGAAACUUUAGUGGUACAUAUGUUGCCCCAUAAUCACUCAAAAACAAAAUAUUGGUUCAUCCCUCUUAACCCACAUCAUGGGUUAAAGAGAACAUUGCCAGGGGGUCUUCACUCUCCUAGAAGGGCAUCAUUUGUUAAGUCCUUUUUCCAUGGCUUAAAGUAAAGGAAGCAAUGAUUAGAAAUGUAUCCCUCAUGAUAGGCUCUAUAGCAAAUCUACUUUAAAGGCUAUCGUUACACAACAGAUUUUAAAUUCUCUUUGAAAGUUAUGCUAAAUAGAAUUGGCUAAACAAAGAAGUUCUUCUGCAGCUGCUGACACUUGCGGCCUAUGGAGAAACAGGUCAAAUGCAGAUUAUAAAAAUUCAGUGUAGGGGAUUAAUGAAAAGACCACUUAGUCAAGUGAGUAGACUCUUCAUCUAGCUCAUUCUUUAAACUAUUUAAGUGUAGGUGGUUUGGUUUCUAGGGACCCUGGUUAAGGAGCAUACUCUGAACUCUGGGUAUUUUCCUUCCAGUAGUGAUAAUAGUAGUCUCCUUGGUGCACUGUAUUCUCUCAAAGGUUUUAAAUGCUUGCAUGCAGCCAUCUCUAGAACAUCAAAUGGUCUCUCUUCGACUGGAAUGACAACAGCUGAAAGAAAUGUUCAACCAUGAGGACACCAUACCUAUAAAUGAUGUGCUGAGACUGGAAACCCAAAAUGUUGGUAACUGAGAAGUGGCACUAAGGCCCUAAGUUUUGGUUGCACACUCACCUAAGUGAGAACCUGACCAAAAAGGGGGGAUUUUUAAAACAAAACUCUGUGAGGCCAUUGUUUUGGACUAAGCUCAUGCACUCAUGCCCUGGGCCCCAACAGACUAAAGCAAACACAGAUGGAGUCAUUUGUGCUAAGACUUUAAGGAAACGCUUGGAUUCCACAACAGACUAGCUUUUGUUUUUUUCUUCUGCAAAUCUCUAUAACAAACAUUUCUGACAACAUAGGUAUCCACCCCCUGAAGUUCCCAUUAAAUCUUUUAACCAAAUUCAUUUCCUCUCACCUAGAGACCAUCAAGCUUCAGAUGAUGAUGCAACAAAGGUUUCAGCCAGUUCCAGGUGAAGACACCACCCUUGGACAUCAAGAAGCUACCCUGCCUCCACUAGAUAGAGCAGGGAGAGUUCUGUGAUCCCCAAUAGGGCCUUUGUAGACGCUAUCCCUUUGUGGAGAAGACUCUCAACACCCUUCAAAUACUAUGAUCUCAUCAGGAAGGCCCUCCCUGACCACCUAUGCCUGUUUAUUACAAUAGCAGCAGCAGCAGCAGCUUUCCAUUGAGGAGAAGGGUGGCUGGAUUCAGACUGGAGCAGGAAAGUAGGUCCCAGUGGGGAUUUUGAGCUGUGCAGGGGAUGCUCAGCUGGGAGCAACUGCAGUUACAAGGGCAGUGGCCGAGAGACUAGUACAGAAUGUGGCAUAAGGAUGAUCAAUCAGCAUUUGUUAGAUGGCUGCAUGAAUGAAAGAAUAAGGGAAUAAAGAAACUUGAAGCUUCUUGGAGAGAUAGCUCAUGUUUAUUCUGUCUUUACAGGCAAAAGAAUGUUUAUUUAACAAAUGAAUAAAUGAUCUUGUGUAAAAUCAUAAAGAUUACUCAAAGGGGGUAAGCAUCAACAGUAAAGAAUAAUGAUGAUGAAUGCUCUCUAAAUUUUAGAAGUGUUUCAAUUAUGGCAAUAAAAUUAAUAGUUUCUGGUUCCAGGGCAAACUAUGCCCAUACUUUUAAAAAUCAACCAACUGUGUCUUUCAACAAUGUCUAAGAAAGCUAAGAUUUUAUUUGGUCAACUGUUCACCAGGAUAAUUGAGGAAAGGAUGGAGGAGUGUGCUGGAAAUACUGAAAUACAUUCUUGUGAACAAGCUGGAGGGUUGUAACAAAUGUAUUCUGAAGGGCACAAUAAAAAUCAAGAGAGUUUACCAUAGUGAGACUAUGAAGCUCUGGCUGAAUAUGACCCAGAAUGCAUUUUUAAAAGAAUUUCUUAAACUCCAUGAUAAUUCCAUCCUUUGAAAAUCACAAAUCCUUUAUCAUCACAACCUAUGACACUGUGCUCAUCUGUGGAAAUAAAAAGGGUCAAGGAAAAUCCCCACUUCAUGAUCAUUGUAGGGGAAGCUUAUUAUAAUUCACUACAUUCAGGAAUAUCACAUACCAUAGGAUUGUUAGCUACUCCAUCUCAAUGCUAAACCAAACCAAACCAAAAUGAAACAAAAACAGCUUGAAAAAUUCAAUAGCAAAUCAGCACAGAAAAAGAAAAUGUUUACAUUUUUAUCAAAUGUUCAAUUUGACUACAAAGUGCUACUUUGGAGAUCUGGGCUACUCAAAGUAGCCACCUGGCUCCCUCAGUGGCAUGUUGGUUACAGGUCCCUGUGAGAUGAGGAAACUGCAAUAAAUACAGUGCUUCCUUCAUCAAGAAAGUCUUGCUACAAAAGAAGAAAAAGAAAGAAAGGAAAUA